rnacentral:rRNA from 1 species
GAACGAAACUUCUUUAUCACCGAGUGCUUGCACUCACCGAUAAAGAGUUGAGUGGCGAACGGGUGAGUAACACGUGGGCAACCUGCCCAAAAGAGGGGGAUAACACUUGGAAACAGGUGCUAAUACCGCAUAACCAUAGUUACCGCAUGGUAACUAUGUAAAAGGUGGCUAUGCUACCGCUUUUGGAUGGGCCCGCGGCGCAUUAGCUAGUUGGUGGGGUAAAGGCUUACCAAGGCAAUGAUGCGUAGCCGAACUGAGAGGUUGAUCGGCCACAUUGGGACUGAGACACGGCCCAAACUCCUACGGGAGGCAGCAGUAGGGAAUCUUCCACAAUGGGCGAAAGCCUGAUGGAGCAACGCCGCGUGGGUGAAGAAGGUCUUCGGAUCGUAAAACCCUGUUGUUACAGAAGAAAGUGCGUGAGAGUAACUGUUCACGUUUCGACGGUAUCUAACCAGAAAGCCACGGCUAACUACGUGCCACCAGCCGCGGUAAUACGUAGGUGGCAAGCGUUAUCCAGAUUUAUUGGGCGUAAAAGGAACACAGGCGGUCUUUUAAGUCUGAUGUGAAAGCCUUCGGCUUAACCGGAGUAGUGCACCCCCACCUGGGAGACUUGAGUGCAGAAGAGGCGACCCCAACUCCAUGUGUAGCGGU